rnacentral:rRNA from 1 species
UACGUAGGGGGCAAGCGUUAUCCGGAUUUACUGGGUGUAAAGGGAGCGUAGACGGCCAGACAAGUCUGAAGUGAAAAUCCAGCGCUUAACGUUGGAAGUGCUUUGGAAACUGCCGGGCUAGAGUGCAGGAGGGGCAGGCGGAAUUCCUAGUGUAGCGGUGAAAUGCGUAGAUAUUAGGAGGAACACCAGUGGCGAAGGCGACUUUCUGGACGAUAACUGACGUUGAGGCACGAAAGUGUGGGGAGCAAACAGG